rnacentral:lncRNA from 1 species
AGAGCACUCUUAUUGUGAAUUUCUCAUUCAGCUUCUCAACAAAACUAUCACUGAGAACAGAAAGCUGCCUAUUCCGUACUCCUUCAUUUACAAUGGUUCCUCUAUCAUUGAACUGUCUCGCCCACUUUCUCACCAUUCCAUCAGUCAUUACAUUUUCACCAUAAAUCUCUAAGUUGAUUAUUUCAGCGGGCAUUCUUUGCAUUCAAAAAUCUUAUAACAAUACAAUUCAGUCGUCAGGCUCACAGAUUGUCAAACAUUUUGAAUGAUUGCUAACAAAUGUUAAGCAUGACACACUAGCUGUAAUGGCACCAGUGGAAAGUCAGUGAACCAGAGAGAGACGAGUAUGAAUGUGCAGAACUGCAAUGCUAGUCUUGUGGUAGCAGUAGAAUGAAACAGUAUUUACUUUCUAGACAGGUGUCUUACAAUAAAUCUGAAGUACAUAUUCCAUAGUAACAACUUAUUUUUUAACUUACACAUUCUGUAGUUCACAAGAUUUUGGAUGGAACCUGGAUUAAAAAUAGUGGAUACACGAGACUGCUACACCAAGUACAGCAAAUGAAUUUUCCGCACUGGCAGCCCUACAUCAAAUGAAUAAACCUAUAUAUACUAAUUACUGGAUUCAAAAAAUUAUAUUUUUACAUGACCAGGUUCCUCAUAUCCAUAGCACACAUCCACCACUGACCCAAAUUACCUGCUCACCAUGAGGUUGGCAGCAUUAGGACUCGGGCAACACGCCAGAUACUCUCCACUGAUUUUCUCAAAAACUACAUUACUGAGGCAAAACCCAAAGCAGGUGUGUUAUCUUUUCUCUCAAUGACUAACAUUAGUGCACAAUUUCACAAGAUUCUGUGACUAUGUGGUGGUCUCUCCAAGUGAGAUUUCUGAGGACAUUCUGUACAAAAGGCUUCAGCAGGAGAUACCUGCUGGCCAUUACAGAGGGGGAAAAAGGAGAAGCUGGGACAGUGUUCCUGAGAGAGAACUUAACUAAUGAACAUGGGUUGAAACACAUUCAGGAACUCAUGCUCAGCUCAAAAGUGAUGCAGGAUUUUAUGUCCUCCAUUUCUUGGCACACAGGUGGCUGCAUACAGGAGUGAAACAAUGACGGGAUCAAGCUGAGAUUUUUCAGGUGUGUCUGGUUGGAGAUAGUACAGAAUGACUCUGCUGUUGCACUAAGGACAUCAGUAUAGUGGUGGUACAGAAAUGAGACUGAACUGACUUACUAGUUUAUUUUUAUUGCUUCUUCACGUGUUUGCUAUGAAUAUGCAGAUCACAGGCCCUGGUUUAUAUCUUCAGUAAGUACACGAAGUAAUUUUGGAACUACAGGUCGAAACCAUCAAAGUGUCAGCAUCUAUAUUGCUCUAAUCAAACACUUAGGUUAAAGUACUUUUCACUGUGAAGUUGAAUAUAGACAUAGUUACACGCAGACAAUUAUAUGAUGGAAGGCAAUAACACCAAACCAGAUGCACACACAGGCAAACUUUGUCUAUCUUUCUUAGUGUACAAGCUUAACUGAAGAUAAUGCUCACUUUUAUAUGAUUUGCUGUCAGCUCUUGGUCAUCCGAGGUAACUUUGUUUGGAACACUGGUGCUGACUGCAACACUCAAACUCUGCCUUGCUUGGCAUGGCACAUGAUUGGGUCACUUUUUACUUCCAAUUCACAAUCAGUGAGUGUGAAAUCAGCGGUUUCUCAAUGUGGGUGACCUCUUAAUGGACUGAUGAAAGCAGCUUGUGUUGUAUGACUACCUGAGUUAGAAGGCUUACAGGUAAUAUUCAUACUUACACAAAUUCUCUUUUUUUCUGGCAACCCUUUACGAUUUGGUCAUUAAAACUGUGACAAGCAGUGCAGCCAAAGGUGAGGACACUUAAGGGUUCCAAGCUACCACAUGCCCGCAGGUGGGACCAGUGGCAUAACUGCUACUUUCAUUUCACCCCCUCCUUCACACUUACAAACACCUUCCCACCUUUCUGUAAACCCAUUUCUGUCUUGAGCAUUUUCACAUAGUGACCUGGGAAAUUUUUUCCUUUGGUGUCCUAGGCCCUACAAUGAAUAAAAUUGUAAAUUUUCUACUCAGUUUGUAUAAAAGUAAAAGCCAUGAACAAAAGGUUGAUUUAGACAAGUUUAUUAGACAUGAACAGUGAUAGAAUUUUCUCACUUAACCAGAGUCCAAACAAGGACGCAACCUUAAUUUAACAGAUACUGAACCGACAAGCUUCACACUGCAUUUGUCCAUGCAAAAUAUUGCAGUAGACCUUUUAUAAGUUUCUUACUAAACCUCUCAAAGUAAUCCUCUACAUUCCUUACAUAAAAUUGUGGCAUAUUUCCAUGUGCGUUAGUGUUCUGCCCUAGUAAUCUCAAGUGUAGUGGUAUGUUAAAUUAACCUUCACUCUAUUAGUGCACUCAUAUCAAGUAAUUUAAAUUUCUACAGUAGAAUCAUCAAUCUGCCUAGUUCUUAACUAUGCCAUCACUAGUGUGUUCCAAUGCAGUUUUAGUUGCCAUCCAAUUAUGCACAAUAUAUUUUUCUUAUUAAUACUUGGAAAGUUGCAGUGGAACCAGUGAUCUCCAUACUAACUGGAUGUACAUCUUCUGUCUUUGACCAUAGCACUUAUCCGUGCCGUCCCAGGAGUGUUUGUUUAUAUCAUCCGCCAUCUUCUAGUUAGGCAAAAAGUUUCUCUUGGUGUUAACGAAGUGUAUGUUGUGAGUGUAAAACGGUUAUUUCGCGAACCGGUGGAACAAGGAAAGUAAUUUAACUUUCCACAGGUUUCCUCUGCAAAAGGUUUCACGCCUACAAGGGCUAGUUUCUUGUGUGGAGAUCACUUCUUGGAAGAAGAUUAUUUAGUAAGACCUGGUCUUCGAGAAGGCAUCUCAAGCCUGAUGCAGUGCCAUCACAGUUUGUGUUUCCGACGCAUUUAAUGCCCAAGGAAAAGCAACCAAGGUGACACAUUAGAAUAACAACUGAACAGCCUACUGCAGAAACUCAUUAUUAUAUUGAACAGAGUUGUGAAACAUCUAAGGAACAUGGAUCUCAAACACAAAUAGAAAUGAUUGACAAGGCCACUGACAUGCAGUUUUUUUACCAGAUGUUGUGGAGACACUGAGAAGAAAGAGCCUGCAGGAAAAAAUUAGAAGAGAGAAGAAAAACUAUUCAAUGAAAGACAUCGUAAGUGCUCUGAAAGAGAAGGGUCAUCUAACAGAGAAGCUGCAUGAAUUCCUGAAUCAACUAACAGGGACUCAGGUGGAAUUAGUGUGCAAUUUGUUGAAUAAUAGUGUGUCAUCCAAGGGAAACAGGUACAAAACAGACAUUAAAAUGUUUUCAAUGA